GCGAUACAGGGUGACAGCCCCGUACACAAAAAUGCACAUGCUGUGAGCUCGAUGAGUAGGGCGGGACACGUGGUAUCCUGUCUGAAUAUGGGGGGACCAUCCUCCAAGGCUAAAUACUCCUGACUGACCGAUAGUGAACCAGUACCGUGAGGGAAAGGCGAAAAGAACCCCGGCGAGGGGAGUGAAAAAGAACCUGAAACCGUGUACGUACAAGCAGUGGGAGCCUCUUAAUGGGGUGACUGCGUACCUUUUGUAUAAUGGGUCAGCGACUUAUAUUCUGUAGCAAGGUUAACCGAAUAGGGGAGCCGAAGGGAAACCGAGUCUUAACUGGGCGUUAAGUUGCAGGGUAUAGACCCGAAACCCGGUGAUCUAGCCAUGGGCAGGUUGAAGGUUGGGUAACACUAACUGGAGGACCGAACCGACUAAUGUUGAAAAAUUAGCGGAUGACUUGUGGCUGGGGGUGAAAGGCCAAUCAAACCGGGAGAUAGCUGGUUCUCCCCGAAAGCUAUUUAGGUAGCGCCUCGUGAAUUCAUCUCCGGGGGUAGAGCACUGUUUCGGCAAGGGGGUCAUCCCGACUUACCAACCCGAUGCAAACUGCGAAUACCGGAGAAUGUUAUCACGGGAGACACACGGCGGGUGCUAACGUCCGUCGUGAAGAGGGAAACAACCCAGACCGCCAGCUAAGGUCCCAAAGUCAUGGUUAAGUGGGAAACGAUGUGGGAAGGCCCAGACAGCCAGGAUGUUGGCUUAGAAGCAGCCAUCAUUUAAAGAAAGCGUAAUAGCUCACUGGUCGAGUCGGCCUGCGCGGAAGAUGUAACGGGGCUAAACCAUGCACCGAAGCUGCGGCAGCGACACUAUGUGUUGUUGGGUAGGGGAGCGUUCUGUAAGCCUGUGAAGGUGGCCUGUGAGGG
rnacentral:rRNA from 1 species